AGUUGUUGGGAACAGCGAAGAGGGUCAAUGUUAACUUCCAGGACACAGAUGGGUUGUCUCCUCUCCACCAUGCUGCUCUGAGCGGCAACAAGGAGCUGAUUUCUCUGCUGCUGGAAGCUCAGGCCACAGUGGACAUUAAGGACCAGAACGGGAUGCGUCCACUGCACUACGCGGCGUGGCAGGGGAAGACUGAGCCAAUGAAAAUGCUCCUGAAGGCGGGAUCAUCAGUCAACAUCCAAUCAGACGAGGGCCAGAUCCCCCUGCACCUAUCAGCACAGCACGGACAUUACGACGGGUCUGAGAUGUUGCUCCAGCACCAGUCUAACCCGUGUAU